CUGACUGGUUGCUAUCGGCAACUGGGCAAAUUUUUUAAAUAAAUCUCCCCCUCACUACAUAAUGGCUAUAUUUUCGAUUUUGGAGAGCCUAACAUGAAGGAACGGCAUGACUCAUGAAGAAAAUUAAUAACAUGCAUUACCUAUCUUAUCAGUAAUUCAUCUAAAAUAGGAAUGUGUAAAUGUAGGAAAAUGAGUACCAUACUUGUGGAUCUGUCUGCCCAUUAAAAAAAGGAAUAUUGCUUAUGCAAUUUUCUGUAGCACUAAACAGUAUAGCUGGCAAC